rnacentral:rRNA from 1 species
GACGACGCUGGCGGCAUGCCUUACACAUGCAAGUCGAACGGUAACAGGUCUUCGGAUGCUGACGAGUGGCGAACGGGUGAGUAAUACAUCGGAACGUGCCCGAUCGUGGGGGAUAACGGAGCGAAAGCUUUGCUAAUACCGCAUACGAUCUACGGAUGAAAGCAGGGGACCGCAAGGCCUUGCGCGGACGGAGCGGCCGAUGGCAGAUUAGGUAGUUGGUGGGAUAAAAGCUUACCAAGCCGACGAUCUGUAGCUGGUCUGAGAGGACGACCAGCCACACUGGGACUGAGACACGGCCCAGACUCCUACGGGAGGCAGCAGUGGGGAAUUUUGGACAAUGGGCGCAAGCCUGAUCCAGCCAUGCCGCGUGCAGGAUGAAGGCCUUCGGGUUGUAAACUGCUUUUGUACGGAACGAAAAGACUCUUUCUAAUAAAGAGGGUCCAUGACGGUACCGUAAGAAUAAGCACCGGCUAACUACGUG